rnacentral:rRNA from 1 species
UACGUAGGGGGCAAGCGUUGUCCGGAAUCAUUGGGCGUAAAGCGCGUGUAGGCGGCCCGAUAAGUCCGGUGUGAAAGUCACAGGCUCAACCUGUGAAUGCCGCUGGAAACUGUCUGGCUUGAGUCCGGAAGGGGCGAGUGGAAUUCCUGGUGUAGCGGUGAAAUGCGCAGAUAUCAGGAGGAACACCAAUGGCGAAGGCAGCUCGCUGGAACGGUACUGACGCUGAGGCGCGAAAGCGUGGGGAGCGAACAGG